UAAACCUUAUUAAAAUCGCCAUAAUGACAACAACAUCUCUUCAGAAGGGAGUGCUAAAUACUUAGGGGGCUUAGUCUCACCAAGAUGUUCUGGGAUUUUGUUACCUAACGCCUAUUAGUGAUAAUAAGUAUUACGUCUAUAAAUCCCUGGGUGCUUGCAUCCAUCCUAUCUGUUUUAGUUUCCACAGGUGGAGUGAUGGCUCUAACGAGGUCCACGUCGUCACGAUUCCUGUUUAGAGAAAUAAAAUGUUUAGAUCUCAACUUUCCUGCCAUUCCCCGGUGGUGUUAUAAAUAAGGGUGACAUUUACGCAUUUCAAAUUGUUCCUUGAAGAAUAGCGAUUCAUUAUCUUUUAAAGAAAUUUGCACCGCAUCAAGUUUCAAUCCAACUGACAUUCGCGUGUGUUAGAGACACAGACGAAUGGGGCCACCAAGGCACGAGGGGAUGACUGACCCUGGUUAAUCCAAACUACAGGAUGGACAAAGUAUGAAUUUCAGUCGUCAGAUGAUUAACUCUGGUCCUUGGGUCACAACCUUGCCUGUCAGUAACUCACUCCUAAACUCCUUCAGGAAAAUAAAGAAACGUGAACAUGCCACUUUUAAAGUCAAACUCGGUGCCAUUAUGAUAGACCCUGUAUUCUGUGCAAAGUUUCUUGGAGGAAUCUGAUUUCCAGCUUUUGUUCAAUUAGUUUCAUAUCAGUCAAUCCUUGUUUAAAAACAUGUCAUAAGUCUCUGUGGCUUGUACACGCUUCAGUUACCUCCGAUGAUUACAUCAAGAUUCACAAACGAGAUACCAGAGUCACUUCUAUUUACUGGGAAAUGCUAUUGAAACAAACUGAAAUUCAAUUUCAGAAGAGAUUGCAAUAGCCCGUCAAAACAUCCAAGGAGAGAGGAAGUUGGGCCUCAAGGUGCGUGGGGCCAUUGUUAAAUGCAAGACAGCAUCUCACCUAAUAAUUUAAACAUGGUCUCGUGGCCUGACAUUUUUAAUGCUUCCUUGAUCCCAUUCUUCUAGCCCUGUGUGUUCUUUGCCACUGUAGGGGGCGGUGCAUAGCGGGUUAUGGAUUAAAUACCAAGCCUUAUUCUGCCAAUAGCACUUUUAGGAGGGGAAAAAAUCACUGGGUACUUUUAUAAAUAGUCACGCCACAGGUGUCCACAGAAAGUAACCUUUAUUCAGGGCUUUUAAAAGCUGCCUGCUUUUUAGAUACAAACCAAUCCAUAAAACUACCAACUUGAAAUUGUCAGCUAUUAUCUGGGCAGUAAGUCUCAGGCACCUCGGCAGGCUGAUUUGACGUUUUUUGUCAGCGCAAAUUAGGAUCCUAGGUUUAACUAAUACAAUCUGGCCUUAAAAAUUGAUUUAACUUGUCCAAUCCCCAUGAUACACAGCCCGGGGUUCGCAUUUACUUUGUGACUCAUUGCAUUUGAAUUAAACUAGAGGGCUAAGAAUUUUAUGCCUGAAGCAGCUCUGACUCUGAAGAACAGAAACAAACACAUAUUUCUCCCAUCAUCUGCUGCUUCAGGGCAAGAAAAAGAAAGCCACUGUACGUUGGAGACAAGACUUUUCCAGACAACUAUGAACAGCAGCAGCCACAGCACAAUACUAAACAGAAGUGUGUUGUGGAAGCCUGGACUUCAGUGAGAAAUUAGUAGGAGCAUAUCAAACAGAUGCAAAUAUACAAUUUUUCAUAGAUAUGGUGUUGGCAUGAAUUCUAGACGUAAACUCAAAGGAACUGCAAACGUGUUUGUAAAUGAACAUUUAAAACACAGAUUGUGAAGUGGUUUUUUGGGAGCAGAGAAUCAGUUAAAUGAAGGAAAAUUUAGAAAAGUCAUAGACCUGGAAAUAAACUAGAAAAUUGUCUGUUUCAA